rnacentral:lncRNA from 1 species
GGGAAAAGCAUGUUACUUGUUACACAAGCAUCACAAUUCAAUACAAGAACCAUUUCAUUAGAUAUGUCAUUCAAAAGUCACAAUUCAUUUUCAAAGGCCACUUUUCAUACCUAAGCUCAUUAUACAAAGCCAAGAAUCAAACUGCUUACAAAAAUUACAUGUUAUUAACCUACAAUUGACUGUUGGUUAAUUGUUGACUUUUUAGUCAGCAAGUUGACCAAAGUCAACUACCUAUUUCUUUCACAAGUCAUUUCAUCUUGGUCUUCAAGCCUUAUCAUGAUUCUUUUUUAUGUGCCAUCACUUGAUUCAUGGGCAUACCUGCAUCAAACAAGGUCAGGUUUCAAACCAAUAAGACAUCAUCAACAUACCAUUCUUACAUACAUUCAAAGCACACCAUACAUAAAUUUUCAAACCAAUAAAACAAGCAUGAUCAUAGACAUCCAACAUCAUGCAUACUAUUCAAAGUUAAACCAAUUUGCAUACAAGUCAACUCAGUUCAAUCCAAAUUUAG